rnacentral:siRNA from 1 species
CCCAUGUGGUCGAGUGGGAGGUC